AUGAACGCUGGCGGCGUGCCUAAUACCUGCAAGUCGCGCGAACGGACGAGAAGCUUGCUUCUCUGAUGUUAGCGGCGGACGGGUGAGUAACACGUGGAUAACCUACCUAUAAGACUGGGAUAACUUCGGGAAACCGGAGCUAAUACCGGAUAAUAUUUUGAACCGCAUGGUUCAAAAGUGAAAGACGGUCUUGCUGUCACUUAUAGAUGGAUCGCGCUGCAUUAGCUAGUUGGUAAGGUAACGGCUUACCAAGGCAACGAUGCAUAGCCGACCUGAGAGGGUGAUCGGCCACACUGGAACUGAGACACGGUCCAGACUCCUACGGGAGGCAGCAGUAGGGAAUCUUCCGCAAUGGGCGAAAGCCUGACGGAGCAACGCCGCGUGAGUGAUGAAGGUCUUCGGAUCGUAAAACUCUGUUAUUAGGGAAGAACAUAUGUGUAAGUAACUGUGCACAUCUUGACGGUACCUAAUCAGAAAGCCACGGCUAACUACGUG
rnacentral:rRNA from 1 species